UGAGGAAUAUUGGUCAAUGGGCGGAAGCCUGAACCAGCCAAGCCGCGUGAGGGAAGAAGGUACAGAGUAUCGUAAACCUCUUUUGUCAGGGAACAAAAGGCGCCACGUGUGGCGCUCCGAGUGUACCUGAAGAAAAACGCAUCGGCUAACUCCGUGCCAGCAGCCGCGGUAAUACGGAGGAUGCGAGCGUUAUCCGGAUUUAUUGGGUUUAAAGGGUGCGUAGGCGGCGAGUUAAGUCAGCGGUAAAAGCCCGGGGCUCAACCCGGCCCGCCGUGAAUCUGGCUUGCUUGAGUUGGAGAGAAGUAGGCGGAAUGCGCGGUGUAGCGGUGAAAUGCUUAGAUAUCGCGCAGAACUCCGAUUGCGAAGGCAGCCUACCGGCUCCAUACUGACGCUGAGGCACGAAAGCGUGGGGAUCAAACAGGAUUAGAUACC
rnacentral:rRNA from 1 species